rnacentral:rRNA from 1 species
CGGCGCCACAAGUGGCAUCCAUAUUUACUUGGCCUAAAGCGUCCGUAGCCGGUUUGGUAAAUCUCUUGUGAAAUCGUUAAGCUCAACUUAACGACGUGCAGGAGACACUGCCAAACUUGGAACCGGGAGGAGUCAGAAGUAUUCCUUGGGGAGCGGUAAAAUGCUAUAAUCCUUGGAAGACUACCUGUGGCGAAGGCGUCUGACUAGAACGGAUUCGACGGUGAGGGACGAAAGCUAGGGGAGCGAUCCGGAUUAGAUACCCGAGUAGUCC